rnacentral:rRNA from 1 species
AAAAGGGACGGCCCGCCGCAGGAACCCUAAACUCUGUUUUUAGUGGAACUUCUGAGUAUAAAAAACAAAUAAAUCAAAACUUUCAACAACGGAUCUCUUGGUUCUGGCAUCGAUGAAGAACGCAGCAAAAUGCGAUAAGUAAUGUGAAUUGCAGAAUUCAGUGAAUCAUCGAAUCUUUGAACGCACAUUGCGCCCGCCAGUAUUCUGGCGGGCAUGCCUGUUCGAGCGUCAUUUCAACCCUCAAGCCCAGCUUGGUGUUGGGAGCUGCAGUCCUGCUGCACUCCCCAAAUACAUUGGCGGUCACGUCGAGCUUCCAUAGCGUAGUAAUUUACACAUCGUUACUGGUAAUCGUCGCGGCCACGCCGUUAAACCCCAACUUCUGAAUGUUGACCUCGGAUCAGGUAGGAAUACCCGCUGAACUUAAGCAUAUCAAUAAGCGGAGGAAG